rnacentral:rRNA from 1 species
AGCGGCGGACGGGUGAGUAACGCGUGGGUAACCGUGCCUCAUACAGGGGGAUAACAGUUGGAAACGGCUGCUAAUACCGCAUAAGCGCACAGUACCGCAUGGUACCGUGUGAAAAACUCCGGUGGUAUGAGAUGGACCCGCGUCUGAUUAGGUAGUUGGUGGGGUAACGGCCUACCAAGCCGACGAUCAGUAGCCGACCUGAGAGGGUGACCGGCCACAUUGGGACUGAGACAUGGCCCAA